UACGGAGGGGGCGAGCGUUAUUCGGAAUUACUGGGCGUAAAGCGUGCGUAGACGGUUAUUUAAGUCGGGUGUGAAAGCCCCGGGCUCAACCUGGGAAUUGCAUUCGAGACUGAAUAGCUAGGGUGCGGAAGAGGGAAGCGGAAUUUCCGGUGUAGCGGUGAAAUGCGUAGAUAUCGGAAGGAACACCAGUGGCGAAAGCGGCUUCCUGGUCCAGCACCGACGUUCAGGCACGAAAGCGUGGGGAGCAAACAGG
rnacentral:rRNA from 1 species